rnacentral:misc_RNA from 1 species
UCGGGACCGGUACUUCGCAGGGCGUGCCCGCGAUUGGUUGCGAUUGCGACGUCUGCCAUUCCGUGGAUCCGCGCGAUCAACGGUUGCGCUCCUCGAUUUUUGUCGAAACUCCGGAGUGCGCCUGGGUCGUGGAUACCGGAACCGAUUUUCGCACGCAGGCUUUGCGGGAAAACAUUCGCCGCCUGGACGCGGUCGUCUUCACGCACUCGCACACCGAUCACAUCAUGGGGUUCGACGACCUCCGGCGCUAUUCGCACGACCUCGGAUCAAUUCCGGUUUACGCCUCUGCGGAGACAAUGCGCGAUUUGCAACGCGUUUAUGAAUUCGCCUUCAACGGUCUCAAUCGAUUCC